UACGAAGGGGGCUAGCGUUGUUCGGAAUUACUGGGCGUAAAGCGCACGUAGGCGGAUACUUAAGUCAGGGGUGAAAUCCCGGGGCUCAACCCCGGAACUGCCUUUGAUACUGGGUAUCUCGAGUCCGGAAGAGGUGAGUGGAAUUCCGAGUGUAGAGGUGAAAUUCGUAGAUAUUCGGAGGAACACCAAGUGGCCGAAGGCGGACUCACUGGUCCGGUACUGACGCUGAGGUGCGGAAAGCGUGGG
rnacentral:rRNA from 1 species